rnacentral:rRNA from 1 species
GAGUUCGGUGUGAUUUAGGACUCCACUCUGUGGAUCCCGACCCUCACAUUAUCCACAUACACUUGUGCACUGUUGGUUAGGUGUGAACCUUUGGUUUAUCGCCUGCCAACGCCAAUUAUACAAACUCUGAGAACUAUGAAUGUGAAUUUAACUUGCCAAUUUUUGGCGAAAUUAAAUACAACUUUCGACAACGGAUCUCUUGGUUCUCCCAUCGAUGAAGAACGCAGCGAAUUGCGAUAAGUAAUGUGAAUUGCAGAAUUCAGUGAAUCAUCGAAUCUUUGAACGCACCUUGCGCUCCCUGGUAUUCCUAGGAGCAUGCCUGUUUGAGUGUCAUGAAUUCCUCAAACCCCAAUGUUUUGCAAAAUUCAUUGCUUGGGUUUGGUUGUGGGCCUAUAUUGCUGCUUCACGGCAGCUGGCCUUAAAGAUAUUAGCUGGACUCUCCGAGACUCUUGGAUAGUUCCACUUGAUGUGAUAAAUUUGCAUCGGUGGGUCAAGACUAUGCUUGGGAAGUGUGAGAAGUCUGCUUCUAAUCCGGCGAGAGGUUCCAUCCUCGACCCAAUUCAUUUACAACUCUGGCCUCAAAUCAGGUAGGACUACCCGCUGAACUUAAGCAUAUCAAAGCCCGGAGAGGAA